CUGCACAUCUGGAAGCUAGGGUGGCUUAGGGAGGUGCGGAAGACCGCAGGUGGCGUUUUCUUCCCUGAGCCAUGGGCCCUGGGGUUCAGGUGGCAUCUAGCCCUGAUGUGGUACAAAAGCUGUACCAGAUCGCAUCCAGAAAACAGGAUGAUGGAGAUGGGAGCCAGGGCCAGCUGUCUGCCUGAGGAGACGCCCUGGAGCCUGAGGACAAGGCACAAGAGGAAAUGGUUCUAACAGGAGCAUCUGUGUCCAAUUACUCAGGAAGAACACAGCAAUUUGGAGAGUGCAUUUUCUUCCACAACACAGAUUUUGGAGCCUACUGAUGUCCACUGGCCCAUCCUCAGAGGACUGGAAGCUUCCCUAUCUCUAUGCUUACCUCAGCCUCGUCACACCCGUCUCGAGAACUCCACUCAGGCCCUGCUGCUCCUCCCACCUGUACGGUUUGCAUUCACGGUGUGCGGUCCCGAGGCCCUGGUGGGCAGCUCAGAGUCAGUGGGAAGUGGGAUGUCAGCAGGCUUGU
rnacentral:lncRNA from 1 species